UGGAAUAGCUCAGUCGGUAGAGCAAUCGUCUCGUAAGCGAUAGGUCGCAAGUUCAAGUCUUGUUUCCAG
rnacentral:tRNA from 1 species